CCUACGGGGGGCAGCAGUGAGGAAUAUUGGUCAAUGGGCGCAAGCCUGAACCAGCCAAGUAGCGUGAAGGAUGACUGCCCUACGGGUUGUAAACUUCUUUUAUAAAGGAAUAAAGUGAGGCACGUGUGCCUUUUUGUAUGUACUUUAUGAAUAAGGAUCGGCUAACUCCGUGCCAGCAGCCGCGGUAAUACGGAGGAUCCGAGCGUUAUCCGGAUUUAUUGGGUUUAAAGGGAGCGUAGAUGGGUUGUUAAGUCAGUUGUGAAAGUUUGGGGCUCAACCGUAAAACUGCAAUUGAUACUGGCAGGCUUGAGUACAGUUGAGGGAGGCGGAAUUCGUGGUGUAGCGGUGAAAUGCGUAGAUAUCACGAAGAACUCCGAUGGCGAAGGCAGCUUACUAAACUGCCACUGACAUUGAUGCUCGAAAGCGUGGGUAUCAAACAGGAUUAGAUACCCCAGUAGUC
rnacentral:rRNA from 1 species